rnacentral:lncRNA from 1 species
GAUAGCAGGAGCAGCCGCCUGCGGAGCCACGCGCGCAGCGUCACCGAGCCGGUGCGGGUGCAGGGGCGCGCGGGGAGGCUCGGAGGCCGGCAGCCGCUCCGCCGCCCAGCCGCCCGCGCCGCAGAUCGCCGCCCGCCCGAGGAGCCGGGGCCGCGCGCUGCCGGGCGCCGUGCAUCCAGCACCUGCCUCGCCACCGAGAGAGGCGGAAGGGACCCCGCGAGCUCGGCCUGUGGUCCCGCUCUCGAAAGGCAGUCUGAGACGGAGCCGGGAGAGGGCGGGCAUUGCAAUUCGCCGCCGGACUGGGAUUUUUCUUCUCGCAAUUUGGGGAACCCGAGUAGAGGUCAGAGGGGCAGGCGAGGAUCUCAAAAGGGGGCCGAGCGCUGUGAACGUGUGCAUCCCCUCCUAUCGCUGGAACAUCUCCUUGACAUUUUUCACACUUUGAAGCAGCUGCAGCUGGUGUCGUCGGAAAAGGGGGUGGGAAAAAGAGAGGGGGCGGGGAGAGCAGGGAGACACAGCCAAGAGCCACGCGCGGCGCCUCCUCGCCUGCCAAUCCUGGCACCUGUGCGCCGAACCACUGCACCGAGGAGGACCCCACUCAGGGCGAACCCCGAGCUUGAAGCCACGGACAGGCAGCCCCUGGGCAGCGGGUUCUCGCCGGCGGGACCUGCAGCCGCCCACUCGGCCACCGCCGUCGCCUGCAGCCGCGGGAGCGCACGGCCCCUCCGAGCCGCCCGCUGCGCCCAGGUCCUCGGGGGUCCUCGCCCAGCAGAGGCGCGGCAGCGGGCAGGGGCUGUUACAGAGUUGGGUGCACCAUUCGCCUUUUCCUCUCAUCUCUUCUCCGCCCAGGAUUUAUUGUCUGUGGAGCCUUCUGGGGGUGGGGAGAGAGCUGCGCCUCCACCACCGCCACCGCCGCCGCCGCUGCUGCUGCGGUCGCUAGCGCGGCGCGCAGGGCAGGCGGAGGCCGGGGAGUGGAAGCGCUCCUGCCUCCCCCGCCGGCGCUCCGGACUUCCCCUCGGCCGCUUCCCGCCGGAACCUCUCCAGCGGUCCACCUGA